AAGCCAUCCUCCCGCUUCAGCCUCCCAGAGUAGCUGGAACCACAGGCAGGUACCAACAUGCCAAGCUAAUUUUUUGUAUUUUUAGUAGAGAUGGGGUCUCGCUAUGUUGCCCAGGC